CAGCGUAUCGCGAGCUAGUUCCGCUCCCACAAUGCCUUGUACUUCCUCUUUCUUUCCUCCAUUGCGCUAGAGCCAUGAGGACCAUCAAGUCUAGUGAGGAGGUGAAAAUCCCCCCGGGGAUCACCGUCACUGUCAAUGCCCGAGUGGUCACUGUGAAGGGCCCCAGGGGAACCCUGAAGAAAAGCUUCAAACAUCUCAAUGUUGAGAUGAAGAUGCUUGGCAGGAAGAAGCUGCAGGU